UUACCGAAAAACUCGAUGGUGAUGUAACUGAACGGACGUGGUCGAUUGGUGGGUCUUGUUCCACAGGAAUCAUGUUGUAUCAACAGUUUCUUGCUCAAAGGACGGAGUAUGUUAGUGGUGUCAUUAAGGAGGACUUGAGUAACCCUAGCUUCAAAAUAAGAAUGACAAUAGCUGACGCACAAUUGGCUACGUAUAUUUCGAUCAACAAAAGAGUACCUGGAAGAGGCUAAAAUUGUAGUUCAUCUAUGUUUUUCCCACCGGAUGAAGCCUGUCAAAAAUUCCACAUGGGAACCAUGUAGAUCAAAUAUAUUUGAUGCAGGUAAUGUGUGUAUCAACAGGCAACUUCAGGAUGGAGUUUAAGCGUAAGAUGGAGCAUCAGGCACCUUCGAAAUGGAGUUGUGCGAAUUGUUGAUGCGUUCAUUUAAACGCGCGCCUUCAAUCUGAUGAAAACCACAUAAGUCGGUACGAAGAGGAAGGGUUUCUAGCGUGUACAUUAUUUGGCGGUAGGCUCUACGAUUGGAGGAUAUAGCAGCAGCGGAUAUUAAAUGAAACUAAACACUACCCUCAUUUACUUACAAUGAUUUCCUAUCUACGUCGAUUUCUAAGUCUGCUGCGUAGAGUAUUUUAGAAAACAAGAGCAUCUUUGAAAAUGGGAAAUGGAGAUGAACGUCGAAGAGGAUACUUGAAGAAAAAGUCGCCAUAAUCUGAGAAAAAAAAGUCGAUAUAGAUGUGGAAAUCUACGAUUAUGGGAAGCCAUUACAAUAUGAAGGAGCUUUAUAAUGCUAAAGCAUGAGUGGAGGUUAAUAAAAUCGGCGUGGUUGGAAAGUUAAAGAAAGUGGAAGCAUAUAAUUUUCGAAUUUAAAAUAAGGUAUAUAAUGUUUGAAUUGAAAAAGUUCAUUCUAGUUUGUGUGUAUAUUCAUACACCUUUCAGAAAAUUUAACCCCAACCGCAAGGAAGGAAUAAAAACCAUUUAUUCUGGCUUUUAUUUUCUCUAGAUUCAUAAUUUGUAUCCUAAUUUUAAAUUUUCUCCUAAUUUUUCUGAACUAAAAUAAGAAAUUAGUCAAAUUUCUCUUCUACCUACCUUUCUCUUCAAUUACGUUGGUCUGGUAUCUUGGUACCCAUUUCGUGCUUAAGUUUUUACUUCUGUGCAUCAGAGUACCCAGUAUAUCUUUUGUAGCAAGUUUUACUAUCGUCAUCAAGUCUCCUUGCCUAAUACGCGACGAUCUGCUGCUUAACACUAUUGUCGCCUUCCAGACGACUUUAACCUUUAAGCAAAGUCUUCUCUCCACUGCGAGGUCUAAGCAUAAUCAGUGGUGUCUCCUCUCAGUCUUCACCGAAAUGUUUCUUAGCAUAUACGAAAUUAUUCCUCUUAAUAAUCUCCGCGCAUGAUGAACUCAGCGUCAGGCUAAAUCAUUCUCUUACAGAUAUUAACCAAAUUGUUGAAAAUUUUAACAAACAGGCAAGUGUUCUCUUAAGAUACUAUAGUUAUUUAACGUAAACUUAAA